rnacentral:rRNA from 1 species
GACGAACGCUGGCGGCGUGCUUAACACAUGCAAGUCGAACGGAAAGGCCUCUUUCGGGGGGUACUCGAGUGGCGAACGGGUGAGUAACACGUGAGUAACCUGCCCUUGACUUUGGGAUAACUUCAGGAAACUGGGGCUAAUACCGGAUAGGAGCUCCUGCUGCAUGGUGGGGGUUGGAAAGUUUCGGCGGUUGGGGAUGGGCUCGCGGCUUAUCAGCUUGUUGGUGGGGUAGUGGCUUACCAAGGCUUUGACGGGUAGCCGGCCUGAGAGGGUGACCGGCCACAUUGGGACUGAGAUACGGCCCAGACUCCUACGGGAGGCAGCAGUGGGGAAUAUUGCACAAUGGGUGGAAGCCUGAUGCAGCAACGCCGGGUGCGGGAUGACGGCCUUCGGGUUGUAAACCGCUUUCGCUCAUGACGAAGCUUUGUGUGACGGUAGUGGGUAAAGAAGCACCGGCUAACUACGUG